AGUGAACGCUGGCGGUAGGCCUAACACAUGCCAGUCGAACGGCAGCACAGUAACAGCUUGCUCUUACGGGUGGCGAGUGGCGGACGGGUGAGGAAUACAUCGGAAUCUACUUUUUCGUGCGGGAUAACGUAGGGAAACUUACGCUAAUACCGCAUACGACCUACGUGUGAAAGCAGGGGAUCUUCGGACCUUGCGCGUUUGAAUGAGCCGAUGUCGGAUUAGCUAGUUGGCGGGGUAAAGGCCCACCAAGGCGACGAUCCGUAGCUGGUCUGAGAGGAUGAUCAGCCACACUGGAACUGAGACACGGUCCAGACUCCUACGGGAGGCAGCAGUGGGGAAUAUUGGACAAUGGGCGGAAGCCUGAUCCAGCCAUACCGCGUGGGUGAAGAAGGCCUUCGGGUUGUAAAGCCCUUUUGUUGGGAAAGAAAAGCAGCAGGUUAAUACCCCGCUGUUCUGACGGUACCCAAAGAAUAAGCACCGACUAACUUCGUG
rnacentral:rRNA from 1 species